rnacentral:rRNA from 2 species
UCGUAGUUGAAUUUCGGGGUCAGUAGAUUGGUCAUGCCACUGGUAUGUACUGGUCUCACUGAUUCCUCCUUCCUGAUGAGCCGUAAUGCCAUUAAUUUGGUGUUGCGAGGAAUCUGGACUGUUACUUUGAAAAAAUUAGAGUGUUUAAAGCAGGCUAACGCUUGAAUACAUUAGCAUGGAAUAAUGAAAUUAGGACGUUCGAUCUUAUUUUGUGGUUUCUAGGACCGCCGUAAUGAUUAAUAGGGACAGUCGGGGGCCUCAGUAUUCAAUUGUCAGAGGUGAAAUUCUUGGAUUUAUUGAAGACUAACUACUGCGAAAGCAUUUGCCAAGGAUGUUUUUAUUAAUCAGGAACGAAAGUUAGGGGAUCGAAGACGAUCAGAUACCGUCGUAGUCUUAACCAUAAACUAUGCCGACUAGGGAUCGGACGAUGUUAUUUUUUGACCCGUUCGGCGCCUUACGGGAAAC